UGAGUAACACGUGGGUGAUCUGCCCUGCACUUUGGGAUAAGCCUGGGAAACUGGGUCUAAUACCGAAUAGGAUCAUGGCCUUCAUGGGUUGUGGUGGAAAGCUUUUGCGGUGUGGGAUGGGCCCGCGGCCUAUCAGCUUGUUGGUGGGGUAAUGGCCUACCAAGGCGACGACGGGUAGCCGGCCUGAGAGGGUGUCCGGCCACACUGGGACUGAGAUACGGCCCAGACUCCUACGGGAGGCAGCAGUGGGGAAUAUUGCACAAUGGGCGCAAGCCUGAUGCAGCGACGCCGCGUGAGGGAUGACGGCCUUCGGGUUGUAAACCUCUUUCAGCAGGGACGAAGCGCAAGUGACGGUACCUGUAGAAGAAGGACCGGCCAACUACGUGCCAGCAGCCGCGGUAAUACGUAGGGUCCGAGCGUUGUCCGGAAUUACUGGGCGUAAAGAGCUCGUAGGUGGUUUGUCG
rnacentral:rRNA from 1 species